rfam:Musca domestica strain aabys unplaced genomic scaffold Scaffold541, whole genome shotgun sequence.
GAAAUUCUUAAAAUGAGGGGGCACUCUAUUUUAUCGUGUUAUUUUCCGAAGGAAUUGAGAUAGAGUGCCCCCUCAUUUUAAGAAUUUC